UACGGAGGGUGCAAACGUUGCUCGGAAUCAUUGGGCGUAAAGAGCUCGUAGGCGGCUUGUUGCGUCAGCUGUGAAAACCCGCAGCUCAACUGUGGGCUUGCAGCCGAUACGGGGCAGGCUAGAGUUCGGUAGGGGAGACUGGAAUUCCUGGUGUAGCGGUGAAAUGCGCAGAUAUCGGGAGGAACACCAGUGGCGAAGGCGACUACCUGGCCUGUUCUUGACGCUGAGGCGCGAAAGCUAGGGGAGCAAACGGG
rnacentral:rRNA from 1 species